GACGAACGCUGGCGGCAUGCCUAACACAUGCAAGUCGAACGGAGAUUAUUUCGGUAAUCUUAGUGGCGAACGGGUGAGUAACGCGUGGGCAACCUGCCCUCUAGAUGGGGACAACAUCCCGAAAGGGGUGCUAAUACCGAAUGUGACAGCAAUCUCGCAUGAGGAUGCUGUGAAAGAUGGCCUCUAUUUAUAAGCUAUCGCUAGAGGAUGGGCCUGCGUCUGAUUAGCUAGUUGGUGAGGUAACGGCCUACCAAGGCGAUGACCAGUAGCCGGUCUGAGAGGAUGAACGGCCACAUUGGGACUGAGACACGGCCCAGACUCCUACGGGAGGCAGCAGUGGGGAAUCUUCCGCAAUGGGCGAAAGCCUGACGGAGCAAUGCCGCGUGAGUGAUGAAGGAAUUCGUUCCGUAAAGCUCUUUUGUUUAUGACGAAUGUGCAGAUUGUGAACAAUGAUCUGUAAUGACGGUAGUAAACGAAUAAGCCACGGCUAACUACGUG
rnacentral:rRNA from 1 species